GUUUCUACAAACACCCUAAAAUUUCUCUCCAAUCCCAAAAUUCGAAAACCACACAUUGACCGAAUCUUGGAGGAUUUUUGUCAAAUUCAUAGCAUUUCAAGCUUCAUCAAACAUAAAACUAAAGAUUAGGUUUGAUUUCCUCUGCAUGUCAUUAUCUGGGUUCGAUUUUUUUUUUUUUUCAUGUAGCACUGAAGCUUUUCAAAUUAUAAAAUCCUAACGGGAUUGUUCCUGUUCAGAUUUUAUAAUCCGAAAUGUACCAUUGAAUUAUUUUUUUUGCAGUUUCGUGAAUUUCUGUUAUUUGUGUGUAUUCUAGAUUAUGCAUGUUACCAGUAUGGAACAUAUCAGGGGUCAAACCUAGCACUUAUAAGAGCAUCCACAACGAAGACAUAUAUUUUUGGAUGAGUCUCAUAUACACAUCACUUAUUUAGAAGCAAUAUCUAAUAAGCACUCAAUCUCAUCCAACCUAACACCUCACACAAAUUUCUUAAACGGGACACGUAAAUCAUCCAUCAAUAAUUCUUUUACAUUGUAUUUUAAUAUUAAAUAAACAUGAGUCCAACUUAAUAUUGUAGACUUCAUGUAAACCUUGUGUUAAUUAAAUACCAAAAAAAUUCCCUCAAUGAAGAUACCUCAUAGUUACCAAGUGUUAAAAUGAGAGAUCCUCCACUAAAAUUGGGCUAAGUGAACCAUUUAAGAUCAGCUCAUUAAAUACUCUAUCAAACAUGUUUGUUUAAUCAAACAAACAAGCUCAAACUUGAGAUAGUAAAUACCAAUAAAAAAAAGUUUGCUCUUUUGGAUGCAAAAGAUUAAAAAGAACAAAAAUGAGUGAUUGAUUGCAAAAAAAAAUUACCCCCUCUUACUUAUUGUCAAUGACAAAAUUGUCCUUUUAUUAUUAUUAUUAUUAUUAUUAUUAUUAUUAUUAUUAUAUUCCAUUCGUCUCACAAUAAUUAUCUCUUUACUAUUUUUUCUUUUUCUCAAAAUAAUUGUCACUUUAGAAUACCAAUGAAGCAUUUAUUAUUUUUUCAUUAUUAUACCUUUAUUUAUUGAAUUUCAUCUAACUUAACUACCCCACUAACUAAAAUUAAUAAGGGUGUUUUAAUAAAUAAUACUAACUUUACCAUCAAAAUCAACACAAUUAAUCAUUUCCUUAAUAAUCGUGCAUAAACCUUAAACGACUAUUAUUUAAAGAUGGAUGGAGUAUUAUUAUCAUUAUUAUUAUAGUUCUAAUUGUCUCUUUUGAAAUUGUUCUGGACCAAGCAAACAUGUAAGACCCAUUUUCAUAGGUUCAAACCAAAACAACCCAAGUCUCGCUUUUGAUCCAUUACUCGCGACACAGCCCUCCUCGCGAGGGAGGUGCUCGAACACUACGUGAGACCAGUUCAAACAUCUGAUAACAUCUCCUAAAAGGUGUCCCACGAAUCUCGCUCGAUGGCUACAAUUCCCACGAAUCUGUAAGAGUCGAACUCCACAUGUGCUCUAACAACAACACCUCCACAUUGUGAAUAGGGGACUCAAAACAAUUCUCAAAGGUACAGUAUUUUUCCACCCUUAACCUUUCUUUUUGACUCAAUACUGACUUAAGCGUUAGAGUGUCUGCGUGUACACACAUUACCGUUUUAAUCAACACAAUCAUUUAUUUAAUAUUAAAAUGGAAGCUUUUAAAAAAAAUCGUUAAAAAAAAAAAAGAAUAAAUCGAGCUUGAUUUGUCCAUGCUUUUCACAAGUCUAGUGUUGCAUUUGUAUAAAUUUAUUUAUUUAUUUCUCCUAUAUAUGGAGAAAAAGUUAUCCAAAAAGAAAUGUUUACGACAAAAAUGGGAAGCAAGAGUGAGUUGGAAGGAAAUGGGAGAACAAAUUAUGGACCUCACUUCACUAGUUGUUUAAUGAAACGAAAGGACUAUAUAUCUCAUCUCAUGGCUCAAUUUAUCGUGAUUUAUCGGAUCCAGUGAACGGUGAUAUCGUUUGUCAUGUGGUGUCCGAACGAACCGAACAAAAGCAUUUGACUCCAUUUGCUCGUGUACUUCUCAUAUCCUUGUAAAUUUAAUCUUCUAUUAUUAUAGUAUUUGUGAACCACAUGGUUCAAAUCUCUAAACCUUGAUUUGAAGCUCUCUAAAAAUUCGUCGAAACAAUAAUAAUUUAUAUUAAUGGUAGUGUAAAACAAUAAUAAUUUAAAAGAUCAAGACAUCUAAUCUUUGGGGCUUAGCCCGUUUUAUUUAAAAAAAUAAUAUAAUAUGAUCUCUUCGUCCUUAGUAUACAUCACAGUUUUGCGAUGUAUAUUAUUUACGUAGUUUACUUUAACAAUAUUUUUUAAUUAAUAUAUAAAUAUAAAUGUUAACGUAUAAGAUUGUUGUUCGAUGUACUAUAUCUUAUCUUAAUAAGUAUUUUCAAGAUAUCAAAUUUUUAUAGUAAACAAUUAAAGAUGUUAAUGGUCAAAUUAAAUAUCAAAGUUGUGUAUUCUGGUGGACCUAUUUUAGAUUUUGAUAAAAGAUAAAGUUAAAUUAAUUUCGAAAAGGUACCCUACAUGACAGAAGAGCUAAUGAAUGAAGUUGAAAGUUUCAGAGAGAAACAGCAUGGGCCCCACAGGCCCAAGUUGCAUGACCCAGCUUUGUACAAACAUCAACUUCAAUCAUCAAUAGGUCGUGACCUUGUGUGAGUGCUAAACGUUUCCCUUUGUAGCCAGCCUCUAUCCUUUUUUCAUUUUCAUUAGAAUAUUGCUAUUUUCUUCACCUUUUCAUUUAGACAGAAGCAAUUGUUAGAGUGCAAUAAUACUUCAUAUUAUUUAGAAUCUAACUUUAAAAAAGUGUUAUUUAAUUUGAUACAAGUUUUACACAAUUUUUUUUUUUUUUUUUAUGAAAGGAAGUUUUACACUAUUUAUAUAUACGAAAACUAAUUAUCUCAUAUAUUAAUAUACUUAAACAUUAUUUUUGUUUGGAUAGCCUUUUUUCAACUUAUUUAUCAACUUUUCAACUUUAAUUGCAGCCGCGUGUUAUUUUCAAGGAUGGUCCACUGCUUUUGUUUUAUUGACAGAAUAUAAUAUAAAUAUAUAGUCUUAUAUGAGAAAAUUUUGUUGACAAGCAAUAAGGUGGGUGGGUUGGGACACCAUAUUUUAGAUUAAUGUCGCUCCAUUUGUUAGUAGAGUUGAAAGAAGAACAAAAGUUGAGAAGUCUCAACAAAUAUUUGACCAUAGCAAACGAGAAUCUUUAGUUUCAAAAAUUUUGCUUCACUUCACAUUGUUCUUUUGAUCUCUUUAAAUAUACUACUUAAUAUACUCCUCAAUAAUCAAUAUAUGUAAGAGAAUAUUAGUAGAUAUAAUUGUAUAUAUCAGCAACACAAAACUAUUUUACACAUGCAUUUAGUUAUCUAUAAUAAAGUACACAACAAC
rnacentral:lncRNA from 1 species